ensembl:lncRNA
CACGCAGUGAGCAGCGAGGCGACCUGGAUCGAUUCAGCAGCCGUCCUCGUCUCUCUCUGAGAACAACCUGGUGCCAGUUCUAUGACGCUGGAUCACAUGGGGGGGCGGAGGACGCCGAAGUGGUUACCCCCCCCCCCCCCCCCCCCCCACACACACUUUGAGAAUCAUCUGCGUCUCAAUGAAACAAAGCGCCGGCUGAAAUUGGGAUUGUGAAGCUGUGAGUGUGUCUGGAGAUGGCGAGCGGGAGACUGAGGAGUCAGGACAACUCAAAGACCUGACCUCAUUACCUGAUCUCAGAGGAUGGCCGAGUCCAGUCAACUCAUUAAGCUCAGCCCUCGUGUGCCGUGGAUACGAACUCCACCUCGCUAUGGUUACUGGCAGCCAAACAGCAGUCAACAGUGCAGCGAACCGGAGGCGAUCCGUCGCCUGCCAGACCAAACUCCAUUUGAGCGAGCUCGUAUCUGCUCUGCAUCAACCCCUGCAGCACACGGCACAUUUUUCACCCUUAGGAUUGAAUUCUAUUUGCUCUCUACUGUUACGAGCCCCACACUGCUAAAUCAGCAGAUAUGCAGAACACUUGAAUCCAACAUUCAUGCUCCGCAUCCCCAAGUAAAUGUUUCCGAGGAAUGUUCUACUUCUUAGGCCCCACGAAUUUGAUUAUGGAGCACGUACACAGUGUGUUUAUAAACAACAAAUAACAUCCCUCCUGCAAGCUGGAGACAUAUGUUACAAUAACGUUUCGGAUGUUUCUCUCGUCCUGCAGAUAUUUCAUUGCUCCUAAUGUGUGUACAACAUGGAAAAGCAUCUGUCUUCGGGGGAUUCUGUGCUGUAGGACAUUUACAGGUGAAGACAAGAGAAGCUUUAUCCUGCUGCACUUAGGGAAACAUCGUGUGAAAGUUUCCCCUCUCCUCUGCCUGACACAUCUGUAUGUCCUGCUAUGAGAGGCUCCUUCACCGACACCUCAAUGUGAAAGACAGUGUGCACUUUAUGCAGCUCUGUUGUGGAGGUCGGGUGGAAAGUUAAGCCGGGUCUGAGCUGUGCUUUCUUUGGCUCUCUGAGCCAAAACGUAUUCAUCUGCAAACUGACAGCUUCACCGUAGCCCAGGAAAUGGAGGAGCCUGAUCCGCCAGGUAUUUGUGUAUGUCUUGUUUCCCCAACCCCAUUCACCAUCUCCCUAAAGCGAGGCAGCAAAGCCAAAGACAAAGAAUUGAGUAAUUAGCCUGCAUUUCUGUUUUUGUUUGUU